rnacentral:rRNA from 1 species
AAACCAACAGGGAUUGCCUCAGUAACGGCGAGUGAAGCGGCAAAAGCUCAAAUUUGAAACCUUCGGGAUUGUAAUUUGAAGAUUUGGCAUUGGAGAAAGCUAACCCAAGUUACUUGGAAUAGUACGUCAUAGAGGGUGACAACCCCGUCUGGCUAACCGUUCUCCAUGUAUUGCCUUAUCAAAGAGUCGAGUUGUUUGGGAAUGCAGCUCAAAGUGGGUGGUAAACUCCAUCUAAAGCUAAAUACUGGUGAGAGACCGAUAGCGAACAAGUACUGUGAAGGAAAGGUGAAAAGAACUUUGAAAAGAGAGUGAAAUAGUAUGUGAAAUUGUUGAUAGGGAAGGAAAUGAGUGGAGAGUGGUUUAGGUUUCAGCCCUUCUUUGGAAGGGUGUACUGCCGACGCCGAGUCAUUGAUAGCGAGACAGGGGUUAUAAACGGACGGCACUUGUGCUAUUCUCCUAACCCCUCUACUGCCA